AGAGUUGAUCCUGGCUAGGAUGAACGCUGGCGGCGGUGCCUAAUACAUGCAAGUCGAACGAGAGUGCUUGCACUCUAGUGGCGAACGGGUGAGUAACACGUAGGUAACCUGCCUUACAGUUGGGAUACCCUGGCGAAAGCUAGGCUAAUACCGAAUAAUUGGAUUGGAGGCAUCUCCGAUCUCUAAAAGGGGCCUUUAAAGCCUCGCUGAAUGAUGGACCUGCGGCGCAUUAGCUAGUUGGUGAGAUAACAGCCCACCAAGGCGAGGAUGCGUAGCCGACCUGAGAGGGUGAGCGGCCACACUGGAACUGAGACACGGUCCAGACUCCUACGGGAGGCAGCAGUAGGGAGUUUUCGGCAAUGGGGGCAACCCUGACCGAGCAACGCCGCGUGAAUGAUGAAGGUCUUCGGAUUGUAAAGUUCUGUUAUAAGGGAAAAAUGAUAUGGUGAGGAAAUGCUCCAUAUUUGAUGGUACCUUAUUAGAAAGCCACGGCUAACUACGUGCCAGCCGCCGC
rnacentral:rRNA from 1 species